rnacentral:rRNA from 1 species
AUUGAACGCUGGCGGUAGGCCUAACACAUGCAAGUCGAACGCGAAAGUCCUUCGGGAGUGAGUAGAGUGGCGGACGGGUGGAGUAACGCGUAGGAAUCUAUCCUGUAGUGGGGGAGUAACGUUUCGUAAGGAACGCUAAUACCGCAUACGCCCCAACGGGGGAAAGGACGGGGGAGUCUUCGGACCUCGUGCUAUAGGAGGAGCCUGCGUCGGAUUAGCUAGUUGGUGAGGUAAAGGCUCACCAAGGCGACGAUCCGUAGCUGGUCUGAGAGGAUGAUCAGCCACACCGGAACUGAGACACGGUCCGGACUCCUACGGGAGGCAGCAGUGGGGAAUAUUGCGCAAUGGGCGAAAGCCUGACGCAGCCAUACCGCGUGUGUGAAGAAGGCCUCGGUUGUAAG